rnacentral:rRNA from 1 species
UACGUAUGGUGCAAGCGUUGUUCGGAAUUACUGGGCAUAAAGGGUGCGUAGGCGGUUUGUUAAGUCAGUGGUGAAAUUUCUGGGCCCAACCGAGAAACUGCCAUUGAAACUGACAAACUUGAGUAGGUAAGGGGUAAGCGGAACGUUUGGUGUAGCGGUGAAAUGCGUAGAUAUCAAACGGAAGGCCAGCGGCGAAGGCGGCUUACUGGUACCUAACUGACGCUGAGGCACGAAAGCGUGGGGAGCAAACAGG